UACGGAGGGUGCAAGCGUUAUCCGGAUUCACUGGGCUUAAAGGGUGCGUAGGUGGGCCGGUAAGUCAGUGGUGAAAUCUCCGGGCUUAACCCGGAAACUGCCGUUGAUACUAUUUGUCUUGAAUAUUGUGGAGGUAAGCGGAAUAUGUCAUGUAGCGGUGAAAUGCUUAGAUAUGACAUAGAACACCAAUUGCGAAGGCAGCUUACUACACAAUGAUUGACACUGAGGCACGAAAGCGUGGGGAUCAAACAGG
rnacentral:rRNA from 1 species